AUUGAACGCUGGCGGCAGGCCUAACACAUGCAAGUCGAACGAGUGGCGGACGGGUGAGUAAUGUCUGGGACACUGCCUGAUGGAGGGGGAUAACUACUGGAAACGGUAGCUAAUACCGCAUACCAUCGGAUGUGCCCAGAUGGGAUUAGCUAGUAGGUGGGGUAAAGGCGCACCUAGGCGACGAUCCCUAGCUGGUCUGAGAGGAUGACGAGCCACACUGGAACUGAGACACGGGCCAGUCGCCUACGGCAUGAAGCAGGGGGAAAUAGUGCACAAUUGGCGCAAGCCGGAUGCAGCAAUGCCGCGUGUAUGAAGAAGGCCUUCGGGUUGUAAAGUACUUUCAGCGGGGAGGCGUUACCCGCAGAAUAAGCACCGGCUAACGCCGUGCCAGCCGCCGCGGUAAUAC
rnacentral:rRNA from 1 species